rnacentral:rRNA from 1 species
GACGAACGCUGGCGGCGUGCUUAACACAUGCAAGUCGAACGGAAAGGCCCUGCUUUUGUGGGGUGCUCGAGUGGCGAACGGGUGAGUAACACGUGAGUAACCUGCCCUUGACUUUGGGAUAACUUCAGGAAACUGGGGCUAAUACCGGAUAGGAGCUCCUGCUGCAUGGUGGGGGUUGGAAAGUUUCGGCGGUUGGGGAUGGACUCGCGGCUUAUCAGCUUGUUGGUGGGGUAGUGGCUUACCAAGGCUUUGACGGGUAGCCGGCCUGAGAGGGUGACCGGCCACAUGGGGACUGAGAGACGGACCAGACUCCUACGGGAGGCAGCAGUGGGGAAUAUUGCACAAUGAGCGGAAGCCUGAUGCAGCAACGCCGCGUGCGGGAUGACGGCCUUCGGGUUGUAAACCGCUUUCGCCUGUGACGAAGCGUGAGUGACGGUAAUGGGUAAAGAAGCACCGGCUAACUACGUG